AAGGAUCAUUUGUUGAACUCAGUCACUGUGCUGUGAAAAAAGCCAACAUUUCCAAUGAAGAGACCACAUGGAGAAACAUGUAGAGAGGAACCAAGGCCCCUAGCUGAUAGCCAGCAUUAGCCAUCAAGCAUGUGAAUGAAUGAACCUUCAGAUGAUUCCUGCUCUCUGUCAUUGAGUCUUCCACUUGUGACCCCAGACAUGGUAGAGGAGAUACAAGCCAUCUUCACCGUGCCUGUUUGGAUUCCUGAGUCACAGAAGUUGUGAAAGAUAAGUGAUUAUUGUUGCUUUAAGUCACUAUGUUUUGUGGUAAUUUGUUACUCAGUGAUAGAUAAUGAAUACACUUGUACUUGGUAGACUGGAGCAGUGACUUGUAAUGUAUAUAUUUUUAAAUCAUAGAUUCAUUAGAAAAUUUGAUGAAAACUGAAGUGACCUCCAUGACCCCCACAUUCUGGUGUUCAUACCCAUGUAUAAUCUCCUUCUCUUAGGUGUGGGCAGGACAUUUGGCUUGCUUAUAACCAAUAGAAUAUGGCAAAGGCUUUGAGCUGUCACUUCAGUGAUUAUGUUAGCUUAUAUAAGACUUUCUCUUGCUAGCAGACUCACUCUAGCGUCUUGCUUUCCUGGUUUGUUUUGAUGAACCAAGCUGCCAUGAAUCUUACAACCACAAGGAAAUGAAUUCUGCCAACACCCAGAGUAAACUUGUAAGCAGACCCCAGUUGAGCCUGAAGAUGAGAACAGAGGCCUAGCUCACACCUUGAUGGCAACGUCACAGAGAACAUUGCUAAGCCAUGCAUAGACUUACUGACCCACCUCAACCAACUGUGAGAUAAUAAAUGCCCUGACUAAUCCACUGCCUUAUAGGAUUAUUGGGAGGACCAAUGAAACUUUUGCACAUAAAGCCUUUGGAAUAGUGCAGACACAGAGAAUCAUACAGGAUGAAUCCGAAAGAGAAGACAACAUAGAUAGGAAUGAGAACCUGUUAAGAGGCCAUUGCUACAGUUCAAACAAGAGGACUGGAGAUAAAAAAUCAGAAAAAGAAGAGGUUUCUCUAUGUUUACCAGGCUGGUCUCAAGCUCCUGUCCUCAAGUGAUCAAGUGAUCCUCCUGCCUCAGCCUCUGAAAGUGUUGGUAUUACAGCAUGAGCCACUGUGCCUGGCCCUCAAAGGACUGUGCAAAGCUGAAGCUACUCCAAGAUGGGAAGAACUGCUUCAAUGGGAAGUGAGCUGCCCAUCACCAGAGGCAUUGAAGCAGAGGCAAGAGAUAUUCAUCAAUCCACUAUAAUUUUGGAGCUUACCACUACACUGAACAUAAUGUGGCCAAGAACCAACUGAACUUUAUAUUGCAAACACCAACAGGACAUUCUUGAGACCUUAUUUUACUUGAUCUUUCUGCAGUGUUCAAGGCUACUGGCCACACUACUCCUUUUUAAAAACUGUGUUUCCUUGAUUUCUAAAAUACCACUGUCUCCCACUUCCACUGGUUUAAAGUUUCAGACUGCUUAUUUGAUACCUACUUCAUAGAGUCUUUACUGUCUGGUUAUACUGGUUUGUCUGAGGUUAAUCUUUAGCUCGUUUUUCUUCUACAUGUACAUACUCUCUCUGACUGAUCUUAUUCAUGCAGUUUCAUUUUUACCUGUAUGCAAAUGAUUCCCAACAUCAAUUGUACAGACUUCUUUCUUGAGCUCCAGAUCCAUGUAUGGCAGAAUAAAAUGUUUGAAUGUGAUAGUAUUUACAGACUCCUCUCAUUCA
ensembl:lncRNA